UCCAGUUUAUCCUGCUGGCGGUUGCGGCUAUCUGGUUUGCAAUAAGCCAUGCAAGUUUUCUCCGAAAGGAGGGCGAACUGCUCAGUAACACGUAGCUAAUCUGCCCUACAGUCAAGGAUAUCCUCGGGAAACUGAGAGUAAUACUUGAUAGAAUAUGAUUUCUGGAAUGAGUUAUAUUUUAAAAGCAAUGCUGUAGGAUGAGGCUGCGGCGGAUUAGGUUGUUGGCGGGGUAAAAGCCCACCAAGCCAAUGAUCCGUAAGGGCUCUUAGCGGAGAGGCCCUGAGAGGGAGUCUGAGACACUACUCCCAGCCCUACGGGGUGCAGCAGGUAGGGAUCUUCUGCAAUGCGCGCAAGCGUGACAGAGUGAACCAGAGUGUUUCUCGAUAUAGAGAAACUUUUGUCAGCUGUAAAAAGGCUGACGAAUAAGGACUGGGCAAGACUGGUGCCAGCCGCCGCGGUAAUCCCAGCAGUCCAAGUCGCAACCACAACUGUUUGGUCUAAAACAUCCGUAGCUUGCCAUAUAAGUCUUCUGUGAAAUUUCACAUCUUAAGUGUGGAGCGGGCAGAGGAUACUGUACGGCUAGGGACCGAAGGACGCAAGGAGUACGAUCAAGGUAGUGGUAAAAUAUGUUAACCUUGAUUGGACUAACAAUAGCGAAGGCACCUUGCGACGGCGGAUCCGACAGUGAGGGAUGAAAGCUAGGGGCGCAAAAUGGAUUAGAUACCCAUGUAGUCCUAGCCGUAAACACUGCAUACUAAACAUCGGGAUCUCCUCGAGAGAUUUCGGUGCUGCACCGAAGGGGAAAAGUAUGCUACCUGGGAAGUAUAGCCGCAAGGCCGAAACUUAAAGGAAUUGGCGGGGGAAUACCACAACGGGUGACGCGUGCGGUUCAAUUAGAAUCUACACCGUGAACCUUACCAGGACCGACAGCAGGAUGAAGGUCAGUCUGAAGGGCUUACCUGACACGCUGAGAGGAGGUGCAUGGCCGACGUCAGCCUGUGUCGUGAGAUGACCUGUUAAAUCAGGUAACAGGCGAGACCCGUGUGCAUAGUUGCUAUCUGAAGAAGAGGCACCCUAUGCAGACUGCCUGGGUAACCAGGAGGAAGGUGCGGGCUACGUUAGGUGAGUACGCCCCGAAUGCCCUGGGCUACACGCGCGCGGCAAUGCUGCAUGCAAUGAGAUGCAACUCCGAAAGGAGGAGCUAAUCUCCUAAUAUGCAGCUCAGUUCAGAUCGAGGUUUGCAACGAUCCUCGUGACGCUGGAAUCCGUAGUAAUUGCUCAUUAGCAGUGAGCAGUGAAUAAGUCCCUGUUCCUUGCACACACACCGCCCGUCAAACCAACCGAACUUUGCAUUGGUGAGGAUCUUCGGGAACGAGCCUUUGUAAGGUGAGGUAGGUUAAGUCGACACAAGGUC
rnacentral:rRNA from 1 species